rnacentral:misc_RNA from 1 species
UUCUUGAUAAGGAAAGCAGUUUUUUUUUUAUUUUUUCUAGUUCCCUCCCAUUUAUAGAGAUUCUUAUGAGAGAAUUACUUGUUGGCAAGGGAUAGGGAUUUCACUGUCAGCAGAUCAAUUUUGUACUAGAAUCAUGGUCGUGGGAAAUUCUUUUUUUCUGAUUUGUAAUAUAGCCCAAGUUAAAAUAUGCGGUCAUGAGCAUCUAUGCUCUUUAUAUGAUGUAAAUUUGAACGUAUGCUACCAUUUGACGUGCUUGUAUCUCAUUGCCCUAGUUGUUACUGAUUUUUAGCCCCUAUGAAUGAUUGCUACACUUC